UACGUAGGGACCGAGCGUUGUCCGGAAUCAUUGGGCGUAAAGAGCGUGUAGGCGGCCAAUUAAGUCCUGCGUGAAAGCUCGGGGCUCAACCCCGAGUCGGCCGUGCGAACUGGUGGGCUUGAGCACUGUAGAGGCAGGCGGAAUUCCGGGUGUAGCGGUGGAAUGCGUAGAGAUCCGGAAGAACACCGGUGGCGAAGGCGGCCUGCUGGGCAGUAGCUGACACUGAGGCGCGACAGCGUGGGGAGCAAACAGG
rnacentral:rRNA from 1 species